ACCCACAUUCAAGCUUAAUGUCUAUCACAUAAAUAUAUAGAAGCACAUACAUCACAUGAAGGUCAAUAGAAUUACGAUACAAUCGUGUCUUGCACACUACAUCAUCCAACAAAGUCUAGGCAUACAACCUUGUCUUACACAUUACAUUAUCCAACAUAGUCACGCCUACCAAAAGCUUACAUGAAUGCACACUAGCAAGCAAUAUAAUAGUUUGUGUUUGCUAUACUAAGGUUUGUGCACAUAAUCAUUUUUAGGAACUAUAAAAAGGCAAAAGCACAUCCACCAGGUCCAUAUAGGAACUGAAAAGAGCCAAAAGCACAUCCACUAGGUUAUGUGAUUCAUUUUCCAUACACUCAACUGACAGACUUGUGGCCAGCACUUCCUGAAAAAUGUAACUUGUAAUUAGCCAAGUGGACAAAAAAAUAUAAAGCUGCUAUACAAUACAAGUUUGUAAUCUAUAUCAAUCAUAGUAAAAGGAGAAAAAAAUCCAUCUUUAGAGGAUUUGCUGGUGAUCAAAACACCAGGAGCAGCAAGCAUAAAUAGCAAUCAGGAUGUAUAGCAAACAAGAAUAUAGACCAAUAAGUGGCUAACAAGUUGUUGCCCAUAACGAAGCUAUCUACAGACUUAGCAACUUAGUUGUAACCAACCAGCAGCCAAACAUCAAUCUUGCAUCAACAA
rnacentral:lncRNA from 1 species